GAUGAACGCUAGCUACAGGCUUAACACAUGCAAGUCGAGGGGAAACGAUAUUGGAAGCUUGCUUCCGAUAGGCGUCGACCGGCGCACGGGUGAGUAACGCGUAUCCAACCUGCCCACCACUUGGGGAUAACCUUGCGAAAGUAAGACUAAUACCCAAUGACGUCUCUAGAAGACAUCUGAAAGAGAUUAAAGAUUUAUCGGUAAAGGAUGGCGAUGCGUCCCAUUAGUUAGUUGGCGGGGUAACGGCCCACCAAGACGACGAUGGGUAGGGGUUCUGAGAGGAAGGUCCCCCACAUUGGAACUGAGACACGGUCCAAACUCCUACGGGAGGCAGCAGUGAGGAAUAUUGGUCAAUGGGCGAGAGCCUGAACCAGCCAAGUAGCGUGCAGGAUGACGGCCCUAUGGGUUGUAAACUGCUUUUAUAAGGGAAUAAAGUGAGCCUCGUGAGGCUUUUUGCAUGUACCUUAUGAAUAAGGACCGGCUAAUUCCGUG
rnacentral:rRNA from 1 species